GUGAGGAAUCUUGCACAAUGGGGGAAACCCUGAUGCAGCGACACCGCGUGCGGGAAGACGGCCUUCGGGUUGUAAACCGCUUUUCCGGGGGACGAGAACGGACGGUACCCUGGGAAUAAGUCCCGGCUAACUACGUGCCAGCAGCCGCGGUAAAACGUAGGGGGCGAGCGUUAUCCGGAAUUACUGGGCGUAAAGGGCGUCUAGGCGGCCACUUAAGUCUCAUGUGAAAGCUCCCGGCUCAACUGGGAGAGGGCGUGGGAAACUGGGUGGCUAGAGGAUCGGAGGGGGGCGUGGAAUUCCCGGUGGAGUGGUGGAAUGCGUUGAGAUCGGGAGGAACACCAGAAGCGAAGGCGGCGCCCUGGCCGAUCACUGACGCUGAAGCGCGAAAGCGUGGGGAGCGAACGGGAUUAGAUACCCCAGUAGUCC
rnacentral:rRNA from 1 species